AUUGAACGCUGGCGGCAGGCCUAACACAUGCAAGUCGAGCGGAUGAAGGGAGCUUGCUCCUGGAUUCAGCGGCGGACGGGUGAGUAAUGCCUAGGAAUCUGCCUGGUAGUGGGGGAUAACGUCCGGAAACGGGCGCUAAUACCGCAUACGUCCUGAGGGAGAAAGUGGGGGAUCUUCGGACCUCUCGCUAUCAGAUGAGCUUAGGUCGGAUUAGCUAGUUGGUGGGGUAAAGGCCUACCAAGGCGAGGAUCCGUAACUGGUCUGAGAGGGUGGUCAGUCACACUGGAACUGAGACACGGUCCAGACGCCUACGGGAGGGAGCAGUGGGGAAUAUUGGACAAUGGGCGAAAGCCUGAUCCAGCCAUGCCGCGUGUGUGAAGAAGGUCUUCGGAUUGUAAAGAACUUUAAGUUGGGAGGAAGGGCAGUAAGUUAAUACCUUGCUGUUUUGACGUUACCAACAGAAUAAGCACCGGCUAACUUCGUG
rnacentral:rRNA from 1 species